UACGUAGGGCGCAAGCGUUGUCCGGAAUUAUUGGGCGUAAGAGCUCGUAGGCGGUUUGUCGCGUCUGCUGUGAAAACCUAAGGCUCAACCUUGGGCUUGCAGUGGGUACGGGCAGACUAGAGUGCGGUAGGGGUGACUGGAAUUCCUGGUGUAGCGGUGGAAUGCGCAGAUAUCAGGAGGAACACCGAUGGCGAAGGCAGGUCACUGGGCCGCAACUGACGCUG
rnacentral:rRNA from 1 species